GCGUGGGACCUGAUCUGGUAGUAGCCAAGCGAUGGGGUGACGCAGGAAGGUAGCUGGGCCAGUCAGUGGUUGUACUGGUGUAAGAGUGUAGGCCGUGACAUAGGCAAAUCCGUGUCACAUUAAGGCUGAGACUUGAUGCAUACCCGUUGUGGGGAAUUCAGUGAUCCUAUGCUGCCGAGAAAAGCCUCUAGUGAGUUCAUACACGGCCCGUACCCCAAACCGACACAGGUGAUCAGGUAGAGAAUACCAAGGCGAUCGAGAGAACUGUGGUUAAGGAACUCGGCAAAAUGCCCCCGUAACUUCGGGAGAAGGGGGACCAUGCCCGGUGAACAUCUUCACGGUGGGAGCUGGGUGUGGUCGCAGAGACCAGAGAGAAGCGACUGUUUACUAAAAACACAGGUCCGUGCGAAGACGUAAGUCGAUGUAUACGGACUGACGCCUGCCCGGUGCUGGAAGGUUAAGAGGACCGGUUAGCAGUAAGGCGAAGCUGAGAAUUUAAGCCCCAGUAAACGGCGGUGGUAACUAUAACCAUCCUAAGGUAGCGAAAUUCCUUGUCGGGUAAGUUCCGACCUGCACGAAUGGCGUAACGACUUCUCUGCUGUCUCGACCACAGACUCGGCGAAAUUGCACUACGAGUAAAGAUGCUCGUUACGCGCGGCAGGACGAAAAGACCCCGGGACCUUUACUAUAGCUUGGUAUUGGCGUUCGAUUCGGUUUGUGUAGGAUAGGUGGGAGACUGUGAAGCAUGCACGCCAGUGUGUGUGGAGUCGUUGUUGAAAUACCACUCUGAUCGUAUUGGACGUCUAACCUCGGCCCAUGAUCUGGGUUAGGGACAGUGCCUGGUGGGUAGUUUAACUGGGGCGGUUGCCUCCUAAAGAGUAACGGAGGCGCCCAAAGGUUCCCUCAGCCUGGAUGGCAAUCAGGUGUUGAGUGCAAGUGCACAAGGGAGCUUGACUGUGAGACUGACACGUCGAGCAGGGACGAAAGUCGGGACUAGUGAUCCGGCACCGGCAAGUGGAAGCGGUGUCGCUCAACGGAUAAAAGGUACCCCGGGGAUAACAGGCUGAUCUUCCCCAAGAGUCCAUAUCGACGGGAUGGUUUGGCACCUCGAUGUCGGCUCGUCGCAUCCUGGGGCUGGAGUAGGUCCCAAGGGUUGGGCUGUUCGCCCAUUAAAGCGGCACGCGAGCUGGGUUUAGAACGUCGUGAGACAGUUCGGUCUCUAUCCGCCGCGCGCGUAAGAAACUUGAGGAAGGCUGUCCCUAGUACGAGAGGACCGGGACGGACGAACCUCUGGUGUGCCAGUUGUUCCACCAGGAGCAUGGCUGGUUAGCUACGUUCGGAAGGGAUAACCGCUGAAAGCAUCUAAGCGGGAAGCCUGUUCCAAGAUGAGGUUUCUCACCACCUUGCGUGGUUAAGGCCCCCUACAGACCAUGGGGUUGAUAGGCCGGAACUGGAAGCGCAGCAAUGCGUGGAGGUGACCGGUACUAAUAGGCCGAGGGCCUAAAAAA
rnacentral:rRNA from 1 species